rnacentral:rRNA from 1 species
AUACAGAGGGUGCAAGCGUUAAUCGGAAUUACUGGGCGUAAAGCGCACGUAGGUGGUUCAUUAAGUCAGAUGAGAAAGCCCCGGGCUCAACCUGGGAACUGCAUUUGAAACUGGUGAGCUAGAGUAUGGUAGAGGUAAGUGGAAUUCCAGGUGUAGCGGUGAAAUGCGUAGAUAUCUGGAGGAACAUCAGUGGCGAAGGCGACUUACUGGACCAAUACUGACACUGAGGUGCGAAAGCGUGGGGAGCAAACAGGAUUAGAAACCCUAGUAGUCC